rnacentral:rRNA from 1 species
AACGAACGCUGGCGGCAGGCCUAACACAUGCAAGUCGAGCGCUGUAGCAAUACAGAGCGGCGCACGGGAGAGUAACGCGUGGGAAUCUACCUUUUGGUUCGGAAUAACACCGGGAAACUGGUGCUAAUACCGGAUAAGCCCUUCGGGGGAAAGAUUUAUUGCCAAAAGAUGAGCCCGCGUUGGAUUAGCUAGUUGGUGAGGUAAAAGCUCACCAAGGCAACGAUCCAUAGCUGGUCUGAGAGGAUGAUCAGCCUCACUGGGACUGAGACA